UGGGGAAUUUUGGACAAUGGGCGCAAGCCUGAUCCAGCCAUGCCGCGUGCAGGAUGAAGGCCUUCGGGUUGUAAACUGCUUUUGUACGGAACGAAAAGACUCCUUCUAAUAAAGGGGGUCCAUGACGGUACCGUAAGAAUAAGCACCGGCUAACUACGUGCCAGCAGCCGCGGUAAUACGUAGGGUGCGAGCGUUAAUCGGAAUUACUGGGCGUAAAGCGCGCGUAGGUGGUUUGUUAAGUUGAAUGUGAAAUCCCCGGGCUCAACCUGGGACCUGCAUUUGUGACUGUAUAGCUAGAGUACGGUAGAGGGGGAUGGAAUUCCGCGUGUAGCAGUGAAAUGCGUAGAUAUGCGGAGGAACACCGAUGGCGAAGGCAAUCCCCUGGACCUGUACUGACGCUCAUGCACGAAAGCGUGGGGAGCAAACA
rnacentral:rRNA from 1 species